UGUAGCAAUACAGGGUGAUGGACUGCCUUUUGCAUAAUGAGCCUGCGAGUUGUGGUGUCUGGCAAGGUUAAGCAAACGCGAAGCCGUAGCGAAAGCGAGUCUGAAUAGGGCGCUUAGUCAGAUGCUGCAGACCCGAAACGAAGUGAUCUAUCCAUGAGCAAGUUGAAGCUAGUGUAAGAACUAGUGGAGGACUGAACCCAUAGGCGUUGAAAAGCCCCGGGAUGACUUGUGGAUAGGGGUGAAAGGCCAAUCAAACUUCGUGAUAGCUGGUUCUCUCCGAAAUAUAUUUAGGUAUAGCGUUGUGUCGUAAUAUAAGGGGGUAGAGCACUGAAUGGGCUAGGGCAUACACCAAUGUACCAAACCCUAUCAAACUCCGAAUACCUUAUAUGUAAUCACAGCAGUCAGGCGGCGAGUGAUAAAAUCCGUCGUCAAGAGGGAAACAACCCAGACUACCAGCUAAGGUCCCUAAAUCUUACUUAAGUGGAAAACGAUGUGAAGUUACUUAAACAACCAGGAGGUUGGCUUAGAAGCAGCCAUCCUUUAAAGAAAGCGUAAUAGCUCACUGGUCUAGUGAUUUUGCGCGGAAAAUAUAACGGGGCUAAAGUAAGUACCGAAGCUGUAGACUUAGUUUACUAAGUGGUAGGAGAGCGUUCUAUUUGCGUCGAAGGUAUACCGGUAAGGAGUGCUGGAGCGAAUAGAAGUGAGCAUGCAGGCAUGAGUAGCGAUAAUUAAUGUGAGAAUCAUUAACGCCGUAAACCCAAGGUUUCCUACGCGAUGCUCGUCAUCGUAGGGUUAGUCGGGUCCUAAGUCGAGUCCGAAAGGGGUAGACGAUGGCAAAUUGGUUAAUAUUCCAAUACCAACAUUAGUGUGCGAUGGAAGGACGCUUAGGGCUAAGGGGGCUAGCGGAUGGAAGUGCUAGUCUAAGGUCGUAGGAGGUUAUACAGGCAAAUCCGUAUAACAAUACUCCGAGAACUGAAAGGCUUUUUGAAGUCUUCGGAUGGAUAGAAGAACCCCUGAUGCCGUCGAGCCAAGAAAAGUUUCUAAGUUUAGCUAAUGUUGCCCGUACCGUAAACCGACACAGGUGGGUGGGAUGAGUAUUCUAAGGCGCGUGGAAGAACUCUCUUUAAGGAACUCUGCAAAAUAGCACCGUAUCUUCGGUAUAAGGUGUGGUUAGCUUUGUAUUAGGAUUUACUCCGAAAGCAAGGAAACUUACAACAAAGAGUCCCUCCCGACUGUUUACCAAAAACACAGCACUCUGCUAACUCGUAAGAGGAUGUAUAGGGUGUGACGCCUGCCCGGUGCUCGAAGGUUAAUUGAUGGGGUUAGCAUUAGCGAAGCUCUUGAUCGAAGCCCGAGUAAACGGCGGCCGUAACUAUAACGGUCCUAAGGUAGCGAAAUUCCUUGUCGGUUAAAUACCGACCUGCAUGAAUGGCGUAACGAGAUGGGAGCUGUCUCAAAGAGGGAUCCAGUGAAAUUGUAGUGGAGGUGAAAAUUCCUCCUACCCGCGGCAAGACGGAAAGACCCCGUGGACCUUUACUACAGCUUGACACUGCUACUUGGAUAAGAAUGUGCAGGAUAGGUGGGAGGCUUUGAGUAUAUGACGCCAGUUGUAUAUGAGCCAUUGUUGAGAUACCACUCUUUCUUAUUUGGGUAGCUAACCAGCUUGAGUUAUCCUCAAGUGGGACAAUGUCUGGUGGGUAGUUUGACUGGGGCGGUCGCCUCCCAAAUAAUAACGGAGGCUUACAAAGGUUGGCUCAGAACGGUUGGAAAUCGUUCGUAGAGUAUAAAGGUAUAAGCCAGCUUAACUGCAAGACAUACAAGUCAAGCAGAGACGAAAGUCGGUCUUAGUGAUCCGGUGGUUCUGUGUGGAAGGGCCAUCGCUCAAAGGAUAAAAGGUACCCCGGGGAUAACAGGCUGAUCUCCCCCAAGAGCUCACAUCGACGGGGAGGUUUGGCACCUCGAUGUCGGCUCAUCGCAUCCUGGGGCUGGAGCAGGUCCCAAGGGUAUGGCUGUUCGCCAUUUAAAGCGGUACGCGAGCUGGGUUCAGAACGUCGUGAGACAGUUCGGUCCCUAUCUGCCGUGGGCGUAAGAAGAUUGAAGAGAUUUGACCCUAGUACGAGAGGACCGGGUUGAACAAACCACUGGUGUAGCUGUUGUUCUGCCAAGAGCAUCGCAGCGUAGCUAAGUUUGGAAAGGAUAAACGCUGAAAGCAUCUAAGCGUGAAGCCAACUCUAAGAUGAAUCUUCUCUAAGCUCUCUAGAAGACUACUAGUUUGAUAGGCUGGGUGUGUAAUGGAUGAAAGUCCUUUAGCUGACCAGUACUAAUAGAGCGUUUGGCUUAUCUUUAAUAAAGCAU
rnacentral:rRNA from 1 species